rnacentral:rRNA from 1 species
AUUAUGGCUCAGGACUGAACGCUAGCGGCAGGCUUAACACGAUGCAAGUCGAGGGGCGAUCGGGAGUAGCAAUACUGCCGGCGACCGGCGCAAGGGUGCGUAACGCGUGAGCAACAUGCCCGUAUCAGGGGGGAUAAUCCAUGGAAACGUGGUCUAAUACCCCAUAGUAAUUAUGUAAGGCAUCUUAUAUAAUUUAAAGCUUUGGUGGAUACGGAUUGGCUCGCGUGACAUUAGCUGGAUGGUAAGGUAACGGCUUACCAUGGCUACGAUGUCUAGGGGGUUCUGAGAGGAAGGUCCCCCCACACUGGAACUGAGACACGGUCCAGACUCCUACGGGGAGGCAGCAGUGAGGAAUAUUGGACAAUGGGAUGGAAAUCUGAUCCAGCCAUGCCGCGUGCAAGGAAGACGGCCCUAUGGGUUGUAAACUGCUUUUGUAUGGGAGCAAUAAGGGCUACGUGUAGUCCGAUGAGAGUACCAUACGAAUAAGCACCGGCUAACUCCGUGCCAGCCGCGGC